GUGAAACCACAAACAAGUAAGACUGAUGCUUGUACAUUACUAAUGUACUUAGUAGACUCUUGUAUAAAUACAACAAAUUGAGGAAUAGUCAACAUGAUUUCUAGACUGGAUAGCUCUGGGUCAUAAUCCUGCGGAAGUUCUCCUGCUCACAGAAGGAUCAGCUGUGAGGUCAGACCCCAGAAUUCAGUCAGGGAGUACACGGACAAGGUAGGGUCAUUUGAUACAAUCUUUGAGUUUAUAAAAGUACUCAGCAAGUUCAUUCAUCAGUUAUCUAAGGAAACAGCCAUCAGUUAUCUAAGGAAAGAUCUUGCAGGAUAAGUAAUUACUUAAGAGAUUGAUAAGGAUAGUAGGAGCAGAUGAUCAAUUUUUAUAAAAGGGUGUUUACAGAUAUCUGUGCUACAACCAAGAGUUCAGUUUAAGCCAGAUGCAGCCAUCAGGACCAGCAGCUGUUGCUUAAGCAGAAAGCAGGGCAGGGGAGCACAGCACCACACCUUCUCAUCUCUUUAUGUGCAGCAAGAAUUGGUAUCUUGUAGGGUCAAUGGUGUCUGAAGAGGAAGCGGAUGAGAGGAGAGCAAGAAUGCAUGAGAAAGUAUCUGGAGGAAAGGAUCCAAAUGGAAGGAGUCAGAAGUUACAAAAGGUGAACAUGUCAAGAGCAAGAUCAGCAAAAGUUUUGGCAGUGGAAAGCUGACUGCACUAAAGGAAGACUUUUUGUCCCAGCUACUUUUAUAUAAUAGAUCAAUAAAGCCAAGCUCUUUUGCUCUGCCUCAAA